rnacentral:rRNA from 1 species
UGGGGAAUAUUGCACAAUGGGCGCAAGCCUGAUGCAGCCAUGCCGCGUGUAUGAAGAAGGCCUUCGGGUUGUAAAGUACUUUCAGCGGGGAGGAAGGCGAUAAGGUUAAUAACCUUGUCGAUUGACGUUACCCGCAGAAGAAGCACCGGCUAACUCCGUGCCAGCAGCCGCGGUAAUACGGAGGGUGCAAGCGUUAAUCGGAAUUAAUGGGCGUAAAGCGCACGCAGGCGGUCUGUCAAGUCGGAUGUGAAAUCCCCGGGCUCAACCUGAGAACUGCAUUCGAAACUGGCAGGCUAGAGUCUUGUAGAGGGGGGUAGAAUUCCAGGUGUAGCGGUGAAAUGCGUAGAGAUCUGGAGGAAUACCGGUGGCGAAGGCGGCCCCCUGGACAAAGACUGACGCUCAGGUGCGAAAGCGUGGGGAGCAAACA